GAUGAACGCUGGCGGCGUGCUUAACACAUGCAAGUCGAACGGAAAGGCUCCUGCUUGCAGGGGUACUCGAGUGGCGACUGGGUGAGUAACACGUGGGUGAUCUGCCCUGCACUUCGGGAUAAGCCUGGGAAACUGGGCCUAAUACCGGAUAGGACCACAUUUUGGAUGGUGUGGUGGAAAGUUUUUCGGUGUGGGAUGAGCUCGCGGCCUAUCAGCUUGUUGGUGGGGUAAUGGCCUACCAAGGCGUCGACGCGUAGCCGGCCUGAGAGGGUGUACGGCCCCACUGGGAUUGAGAUACGACCCAGACUCGUACGGGACGCAGCAGUGCAGAAUAGAAUACAAGAGAAGCAAGCCUGGUGCGACGACGCAGCGCGGGGGAUGACGGCAAUCGGGUUGUAAUCUAAUUUCGCUAGGGACGAAGCGAAAGUGACAGUACCUGGAGAAGAAGCACCGGCUAACUACGUG
rnacentral:rRNA from 1 species